UACGUAGGGGGCAAGCGUUGUCCGGAAUCAUUGGGCGUAAAGCGCGUGUAGGCGGUUCGGUAAGUCGGCUGUGAAAGUCCAGGGCUCAACCCUGGGAUGCCGGUCGAUACUGCCGGACUAGAGUUCGGAAGAGGCGAGUGGAAUUCCCGGUGUAGCGGUGAAAUGCGCAGAUAUCGGGAGGAACACCAAUGGCGAAGGCAGCUCGCUGGGACGUUACGUGACGCUGAGACGCGAAAAGCGUGGGGGAGCAAC
rnacentral:rRNA from 1 species